UCGGUUCGACUCAUUUAUACCCUUACAGCCUGAUUGACCAACAAGUUCAAGUUCUACAAUAUUCUCCAAUGGCCUACGUACCCUGCCUGCAAUCACUCUGCAUACCAUCAAAGCCUUCCUCAAAAUGGUACUACUGUUACUAUCAACAACUUGAAUUGACUCAAAUGCACUUUCACUAGUAGAAGUUGUAAAAACACCGAUACGAUCAUUAAGUUCCUUAUCGAUGGAGAUGAACCCAUGUCUUAGAAUUCGACAAGUAUUGCAUUUAUCGGAUGAACACAAGCUAGAGGAGCCAUUGAUGCCUAGAGAGCAUUCAAUAGUUG
rnacentral:lncRNA from 1 species